CCCUACUCCUACGGGAGGCAGCAGUGGGGAAUAUUGCACAAUGGGCGCAAGCCUGAUGCAGCCAUGCCGCGUGUAUGAAGAAGGCCUUCGGGUUGUAAAGUACUUUCAGCGGGGAGGAAGGGAGUAAAGUUAAUACCUUUGCUCAUUGACGUUACCCGCAGAAGAAGCACCGGCUAACUCCGUGCCAGCAGCCGCGGUAAUACGGAGGGUGCAAGCGUUAAUCGGAAUUACUGGGCGUAAAGCGCACGCAGGCGGUUUGUUAAGUCAGAUGUGAAAUCCCCGGGCUCAACCUGGGAACUGCAUCUGAUACUGGCAAGCUUGAGUCUCGUAGAGGGGGGUAGAAUUCCAGGUGUAGCGGUGAAAUGCGUAGAGAUCUGGAGGAAUACCGGUGGCGAAGGCGGCCCCCUGGACGAAGACUGACGCUCAGGUGCGAAAGCGUGGGGAGCAAACAGGAUUAGAAACCCUGGUUAGUCCGAA
rnacentral:rRNA from 1 species